GAUGAACGCUGGCGGCGUGCUUAACACAUGCAAGUCGAACGGGAAUUAUUUUAUUGAAACUUCGGUCGAUUUAAUUUAAUUCUAGUGGCGGACGGGUGAGUAACGCGUGGGUAACCUGCCUUAUACAGGGGGAUAACAGUCAGAAAUGGCUGCUAAUACCGCAUAAGCGCACAGAGCUGCAUGGCUCAGUGUGAAAAACUCCGGUGGUAUAAGAUGGACCCGCGUUGGAUUAGCUGGUUGGUGGGGUAACGGCCCACCAAGGCGACGAUCCAUAGCCGGCCUGAGAGGGUGAACGGCCACAUUGGGACUGAGACACGGCCCAGACUCCUACGGGAGGCAGCAGUGGGGAAUAUUGCACAAUGGGGGAAACCCUGAUGCAGCGACGCCGCGUGAAGGAAGAAGUAUCUCGGUAUGUAAACUUCUAUCAGCAGGGAAGAUAGUGACGGUACCUGACUAAGAAGCCCCGGCUAACUACGUG
rnacentral:rRNA from 1 species